rnacentral:pre_miRNA from 1 species
AUCACCUGGGGAUUUUGUUAAAAUACAAAUUCCGAUUAAGUGUGGGCUGGGCCCUGGGAUUCUGUAUUUCUGGUAAGCCCCCAGGUGACGCCAG